CGUGUAGUGGUAUAGAAAUAUACAUAUUCCUAUACAAAUAGUUUCCAGGUGUGACGCUCCGGUUGGGUAAAGUGGGCGGGGUAUAUAAGCGGCCGCUGUGCCCAGUCAGACAUGUGUCUUCCUCAUCAUCCACUGUGUGGCCCGCGUCUCUUGGGUUCCGGCGGAAGAAAAGGCAACAUAUCGCCAGUGUGGUGCAUGCUGUUUUGAUUCCCUGGUGGUGAAACGCUAUUGUGCUGCUCUCCUCUGCUUCCUCGUUCAGCGAGUGUGUGUGUGCGUUUUUGCCUGGAUUGACAGGUAAAUAAAUAACGCUCAUUGGAAGCUCCAGUUUGUUGCAGUUCUGUCUAAAAUGAUUAACUUUCAUAGGUCUCCCCAUAUUCGAACCAUUGCUGCUCUUUUGGAUCCCGGAUUUUGCACGUCAUCAAACUCGGACUGUGGUGGCGCCUACACGCCUUAAUUGAAGCGGUGUUUGGGGUGUGGCAUCGGCGCGCCGAGCUCGCCUCCUGCCGUGGCGUGACCAGAGCCACACCGGAUCUUAAUCUUUAACUUGGAUUUUCUAUUUUUUUUCUUUAUUUAGUUUCCAGCCCUUUGGUUCCUUUAGAUAAUUGUUUAUUUAUCUGGGCGGAUAUUGUUUUUUCUUUUUGUAUUAAGUUUAAGGUUGUUGUAUUUGUUAACUGUUUUUCUUUUGUUUGCAGUUGCUGAGGUCCGGUGGCGGUGCUGGUGUGGUGACGGUGUCUCCCUCUUUUUUGUGCCGUGAUUCCUGAGUUUGGGUUGUCUCACUGCGUCUGGUGCUUUUACGGUUUUUUUGUUUGCUGUGUUUGGUGGAUGCCGUCCCUAUAGUGGCCCCUUCUGCCGGUGACCUCAGCUACUAUAGUUUUUUUCUGUUUUUCCUUAGUUUUUUUGUUGUAAAGAACUGGUUUUAAAAAGAGUUUUAAAAGAAUUUAAUAAAUAGCUUUUUGUGUAUUUGCAA